rnacentral:rRNA from 1 species
AGACAGCAGCAGCCACGGUAAUACAGAGGGUGCGAGCGUUAAUCGGAUUUACUGGGCGUAAAGCGUGCGUAGGCGGCUUCUUAAGUCGGAUGUGAAAUCCCUGAGCUUAACUUAGGAAUUGCAUUCGAUACUGGGAAGCUAGAGUAUGGGAGAGGAUGGUAGAAUUCCAGGUGUAGCGGUGAAAUGCGUAGAGAUCUGGAGGAAUACCGAUGGCGAAGGCAGCCAUCUGGCCUAAUACUGACGCUGAGGUACGAAAGCAUGGGGAGCAAACAGGAUUAGAUACCCCGUAGUCCCUGUCUCUUAUACC